rnacentral:misc_RNA from 1 species
GUAGCCUCUAAAUUACUUCCUGCAACAAGGUUUGAUGCUGCGUGUCCAUAUAUGUCUGAUUCUGAAGAAACAGGAUUAACUACAGAAGGUGUAGAUUCAGUGGAGGGUUGUAGUGGUGCUGCAGUUGGAGCAGGAGCUUGAGUAGUUGUUGCUGGUUGUGUUGCACUAGUAGGCAAAGAACUUGCAGGUUGGGCUUGGCUUGGAGGUGCAGCCGAAGCAGUUGAUGCUCCACUUGAUGAAACCUUGCUCUUGCUUAACAUUAUGACAAUAAAACUAUUUUCAGCAACUUUAUUUUCUUCCAAAGUUGUGCCAUCUUUAAGAACUUUCCCCUG